CCGGCUGCCCGGAAGAGGGAGCGGGGCGGUUGUUGACAACAUGGCGGCCGCUGGCGCCUCCGCCGGAGGAAGAGGCGGAGGGAGAGGAGGCGGCGGGCGGAGGAAGGAGUCUCAUUCAUAGGGAGCCCAGCUCGCUGCCCUUGCCCUCUCCCUCCCCUUCUUCCCCCCCCUCCCCGUCCCCAGCGGCCGCCUGCGCCCCCUCCCCGGCACCAUGUCCUUCUUCAGGCGGAAAGGUAGGGGGGCGGCGGGCGGGAGGCCCGGGGCUGAGGGGCGCCCGCCGGCCUCGUCCCCCGCACGGCCGCUGGGCCCCGGCCCGGCCCCGCCGGGGAUGGCGACCGGGCCCCGGGAGGACGCUCGGCCCCUGAGGAGCGGGCUCGCUGCGAACGACGUGAAAGGCAAAGAACAAGAAAAGACCACAGAUGUGAAAGCAAUUAAAACUGCAGGACCAGUACAUUCCCCUCAGAGGAGCACCAGGAAUCACGCCUUGCUGGAGGCCGCAGGACCAAGCCACGUGGCCAUUAACGCCAUCUCUGCCAACAUGGACUCCUUUUCCAGCAGUCGCACAGCUGCCUUGAAGAAGCAGCCAAGUCACAUGGAAGCUGCUCAUUUUGGAGACUUAGGCAGAUCGUGUCUGAAUUAUCAGGCUCAAGAGACCAAAUCAAGCCUUUCAAAGACCCUUGAACAAGUUCUGCAGGACAAUGUAGCGCUCCCUUAUUUUAUCCAGUUCAUGGAACUGCGCAGAAUGGAACAUUUGGUUAAGUUUUGGCUAGAGGCUGAAAGCUUCCACUCCACAACAUGGUCCCGUAUAAGAGCACACAGCCUGAACACAGUUAAGCAGAGUUCGUUGGCGGAGCCGGUGUCACCCUCAAAACAGCAAGAAGUCGCGUCGUCUUCUCCAACUGGAUUGCUCGAGGAGAGACUGGAAGAUUCCAGCAUGGUCUCUCUGCUCAGGACCAAGCCGGUGGCUUUGGACAAGAAUGACAGAACUGGCAGCAGCCAGAACCACGUGCUCUCGGGUCAGGAGAGCGACAACUCCAGUCUUCUUUGUCUAAGAAAAUCAGAGACGGGGACCUAUUCUGUUCCAGCUGAUCAGCAAGAAUCUUCCAAGCUUACAGUAUCAAAUAGAAACAGCCCUUCCUCUGCACUAAAAGACUUGUCAGGAAAACUAAUGAAAAGUAUAGAACGGGAUGCAGUUAGUACUUUUACCAAAUAUAUUUCUCCAGAUGCUGCUAAACCAAUACCUAUUACAGAAGCAAUGAGAAAUGACAUAGUUGCAAAGAUUUGCGGGGAAGAUGGACAAGUGGAUCCGAACUGUUUUGUUACAGCCCAGUCAAUAGUGUUUAAUGCCAUGGAACAAGAGCACUUUAGUGAAUUUUUGCGAAGUCAUCAUUUCUGUAAAUAUCAGAUUGAGGUGCUGACUAGUGGGACUGUUUAUUUGGCUGACAUACUUUUCUGUGAAUCAGCCUUGUUCUAUUUCUCCGAGUACAUGGAGAAGGAAGACGCAGUUAACGUAUUGCAGUUCUGGUUGGCAGCAGAUAACUUCCAGUCUCAACUUGCUGCCAAAAAAGGCCAGUAUGAUGGGCAAGAAGCACAGAACGAUGCCAUGAUUUUAUAUGACAAGUAUUUCUCCCUUCAAGCCACACAUCCCCUGGGGUUUGAUGACUCCGUGAGGUUGGAGAUCGAGUCCAACAUCUGCAGGGAAGGGGGUCCUCUCCCCAACUGUUUCACGACUCCCUUACGGCAGGCGUGGACCACCAUGGAGACGGUUUUUUUACCUGGUUUCUUGUCCAGCAACCUUUACUACAAAUACUUGAAUGACCUCAUCCAUUCAGUACGAGGAGAUGAAUUUCCAGGAGGGAAUAUUGCCCUGAGUAUUCACGGCCCUGGUAGCUCUCCUGACAGCGACUCUGUUGGGGGCCCGGAUGGAUCUGCCUCCCAGUCCAAUGUCAAAAAGGCUAAUGUUAAAAUCCUGAAAAAUUUUGAUGAAGCAAUAAUUGUAGAUGCUGCAAGUCUGGAUCCAGAAUCUUUAUAUCAACGAACAUAUGCAGGGAAGAUGACGUUUGGCCGAGUCAGUGACCUGGGACAGUUUAUCAGAGAGUCUGAACCGGAGCCUGAUGUCAAAAAAUCAAAAGCUGGACUCCUGGGAGUAUGAGCAGCCUGUGGGAGUUGGAGCUGUCGAUGGAACCUGGCAGGGAUGAAACCCACUAACAGCUGAGCUGAUGAUCAAACCUUCAAAGAUUUGGUCUCGAGAUGAAAAAGAACUUCAGCUCUCCACACGCUUCCCACCCAGUUUGGGAUCUGCUGUCAAUGCCGCUUUGUGGCUCUGGGUCCAUGUUUUCACAAGCAAUGAAGAAAUGGGUUCAAGGAAACACAGAUGAGGCUCAAGAAGAGAUGGCGUGGAGGAUAGCGAAGAUGAUCGUCAAUGACGUUAUGCAGCAGGCGCAGUGUGAACAGCCUUCGGAGAAGGUCACGAAGCUAUGAUUUUAGAAACACCAGAACAGGAAAUCUGGUUUUCCGCUUCGAGAAUGAGUGAACUUUCCCGUUUGGUGGAUUCUUUAACACAGCCAAUAAAAACAAAGCACUGUUACUCCAACCGCCGAGAGCUCCCUCGUUUAUAAGGAAGAACUAAAAAGAAGCAAUCCUGUACCUCCACUGUAGAGCGUGAAGAAACACUUUUUCCUGUUGUAUGUGGCAUCACAAUAAUGAUGGUUUUUAAAGAGAUGAAGACGCAGUUUGCAGAUGUGUCACUGAGAAACUGUGAUCAGCUUCACAAAUUCUUGACCUGUCUCCAAAAGACUUUUAAGCAAAAUAUCUGGAAUGGGACACAAGCCACAACAAAGAGGGGAAGGUUUUGCUGUAGUUUCUAGUUCCACUACUUGUAAUUUUCGAACACAUAAUUGGAAAGGCCACGGGGCGCAUCCCCAAAUGGGCCGUCGGAGAAGUGAACCUGAAAGGGUGAAUUCGUUGGCAGCGAAUGACCUAAAAAGUUUUAAGGUUUAUUUUUCCUUACUUGAAAUAGGUGCGUAUUCAACUGUAAGAUAAAUGUGUUUGACUUCAUAACUGCAUUAACUCUGAAGGCAGCGCAGAAUGAAGGGAGCGAAGCCUUGAGCUCUUCCGCGGGCGAACGCCCGUCCUGCCCUCCUGCCGCCCUCCCGAGGAGCCGUACCCUCCACACCACUCCAUUUUCUUUCCUCUCCAUCCCACGAGCAAGGAAAACAGUAAUUGCUGCCAUUCUCCAUAGCUUGUUGUCCUCCAAUCCCCAGAGUAUCUUAAUUCCAGAUGUUUGGUUUACAAAGAAAUAAUUUUAAUGACCUCUGGCAUUUUCCUUGGCAUUAUCAACAUUUGCAAACCCCUUAGCUGAAGUAAAAAAGCCACCAUGUUACACAACACCUCUGCUUUGAUUUGGUUUCUUUUCCCAGUGAAUUGAUUUUGCAGGGUAUUAAAACCACUCAGUGUGUCACCAUUAUGUUAUUGCAUUUUUAGUCUACAACACUUUGAUUUUGGGAUUUCUAUUUUACGAUUGCUUUUUUUUCUCAAACUUGUGCAAAAAACAAAAUCACUUUGCAAAGAACUCAAAUCAUCUCCAGUGUUCAGAAUAUCUUGAUUGACUAGCAAAUGUUAUUCUGUUGCAAUAUUCGAUUGUAUAGAGACACUGUAUUGUCUAUUAAAAAAGCAAAAAAGGCUGUGUAUAGGUUUUUGGUACUAUGUACCACCUCUUAUUUCUCUCAUGCCUGAGUAUUCAUGUACUUAAAACAUACUAUAUUUAAUUGUGUUUUGAUUUAAAAUAUAUAAAUAUUAAAAUUUG